rnacentral:rRNA from 16 species
GCAAUACAGGUGUCCCAAAACGACUCAGAUGGAACAAAAUUCCUCACAUAGGAGCAGGUCAAGAGCAGUAACUUUUAGUCAGAGUCCAGAAUUGCAUGCGUGGCCCUGCUACCCUUCUGGUCAAGCCCAAAAAUUCUGGACUUCGAAGCAAAAGGUGUCAGAAAGAAAACCACAAAUACAACUGGCUUGUGGCAGAUAAGCAUCCAAAGUGACGCAGCUUGUCACUUGCAACCGAGCAGAAGAGUGUGGUUGUUCACCUGCUGGGUUUAGACUGUUGUGAGAUAUGUUUGUUGUACCCUCUUGC